rnacentral:rRNA from 1 species
AAAACAUAGUCUUAUGAUAUAAGGUAAUACCUGCCCAAUGAAUAAAUUUAAUGGCCGCAGUACUUUGACUGUGCUAAGGUAGCAUAAUAAAUUGACUUUUAAUUGAGGCCUAGAAUGAAAGGAUAAAUAGUGUCUGUCUUACUAAAUUAAUUAAAAGUUUCUUAAAAGGUGAAAAUUCCUUUAAUAUAUAAAAUAGACGAGAAGACCCUAGGAGUUUGUAAUUUUGUUGGGGCGACAAUAUAGCAUUACCUAUAUAGUUUAAUAUAAAACGAAUAUAUUAAUAAAAAAUAAACUACCCUAGGGAUAACAGCAUAAUUUAUUAAGUUUAUGACCUCGAUGUUGGA